rnacentral:misc_RNA from 1 species
GAUGAAGAACGUAGCGAAAUGCGAUAAGUAGUGUGAAUUGCAGAAUUCAGUGAAUCAUCGAAUCUUUGAACGCACAUUGCGGCCAUAGGUAUUCCUUUGGCCAUGCCUGUUCGAGCGUCAUUUACACCCUCAAGCCUAGCUUGGUGUUGGGCGUCUGUCCCGCCGUUCUCGCGCGCGGACUCGCCUCAAAGUCAUUGGCGGCGGUCGUGCCGGCCCCCUCGCGCAGCACAUUUGCGCUUCUCGGAGGCCCGGCGGAUCCGCGCUCCAGCAAGACCUUUCACGACUUGACCUCGGAUCAGGUAGGGAUACCCGCUGAACUUAAGCAUAUCAAUAAGCGGAGGU